ensembl:lncRNA
AUGCUCCUAGUCUUACAGGAGUUAGAGAGACAGGAAAGGAUAGCUCUAUUAUAGAAAUAUCUGCAUAUUCUAGGAAUGUAAGUUAAGAAGAUAUUAUGUCUUUCUAAGUUAGCAACCAGCAGAAAUGCACAGAGAUGUUCUUUUGGUUGUAUAAGGAGCUUUAUGGGUCAGGAUUCGAGAGAGAACACAGGUGAUUUUACAAGGGAACUACUAAAGGCUCCCUUACCAGCAAAAUAGAGAGGCUAAAGUUCUGUCUAUGCAAGUAGGAGCUGCCUUCCCUUCCAUUUACAUGUCCUGGUACUUACAAGAGGAACUGUGCCUAUGCCAAUAUCUGAUGGAGGAGCAAUGUAUAUUGCAGGAGUGCAUUGAUGAGAACUUGUCCAAGUGGAUGAAGAGAGGUGCUCUGCAGGACUCUGUGCUCACCAACAGAGAGGUGCUCCCUGGGAAUGUAAGCCUCAAAGCUUGCAGGUUCUCUUGCAUGCACUUUUUUAACUGGGAAGAUGGAAAUAUGAGCUUUGCAACACCUGCGUGCAGCCAUGCCUAAUCGAAUCGCGUAGAACGGGGGAGAGGCGGAGGGAAGGCGCGCGUCCCGCCCCCUCACACGAGCCACGCCCCAACAUGGCGGCGCCCGCGGAUUGCCGCCAACGCCCU